AGUCUGAGAAGAGGAGGAAGACAAGUUGGAAUAGAGAAAUCAACAUAGGAAGAGAAAUAACAUUGUUUCAGAAAAAAGGAAAACAACAAAUCUAGGUUGUCAUGGCUGUUGUUAGUUGCAUUUCUGUUGUUCGCUACUUUUCAGAUUUCAUUACCACUCGUGUUGAUGUUGAAAUCACACUUGAUGAGUUUAAGGUCAAAGUUUGCAAGCAAUGGCAACAAUUUACUCCACUUGGUAUUUGUUUCUUCUUUCGAGAAGGUGGGAAAGAUCUUCCGGUUGACUGUGAUUAUUUGCUUCAAGCUCUUACAACUCUCGCACAUAGUAAAAAGAAGACCAGUUUUGAUAUUUUCUUGCAAAAUGUUACUCAUGUAGCCUCCUCAUCUAGCUCUAGGGCAGUUUCUUCUAUUUGUAAUGGUUCUAGCAUGUCGUCGAGAAAUAAUUGUUCAGUUGGAAUGUAUUUGGAAGAUAUGAGCAAGUCUGCAAAACCUUUGUUAUCGGAUGGUUGGCCUAAGGUCCUUGGUGAGAUUGGCCACCUGUUUGUUGAAGGAGUUAAGCAAGUCAGGAUUGCUUACACCAAGUAUCGUCUUCGCACUGGUUUCAACAUGGUUCUAACACACAAUGAGUGUUCUAGGUUCACGGCUAAGUGUGGGGUAAAAGAAUGCGGCUGGAAAUUUCUUGCAGCUUCUAUUGAUGAAAGGAACGAAAUAUUUAUGGUCAUCGCUUAUAACCCUGAGCACACUUAUGGUGCUAGUGGCCGCAAUUUGAAUCAAAAAUACUCAAUCAGCUUCACGUCUAGUUUCAUUUUUAGAGCAACUAUGGAAUUACUAUGGAGUAUUAUCAUGCCUAUAGUGGUAGGGAAAGGUUUAUGAGUCCAUUUAUGGUGACGAUGUGAAGUCAUACUCACACUUGGUAUGGUAUAUUGAUGCUAUAAGGGAAACAAACCCAGAUAGUGUGAUAGAUUUUGAAUAUGAUCCUGCAAAGAAACAGUUCCAAUGGAUUUCAUCUCGUUUGAUGCAUGCAUCAAAGGGUACCGUUUUUUCGGGCAAUGGUCUAUUUGGAUGCUACUUUCCUUAAUGGUAGAUUCAUAGAUUGCUUGAUGGAAGCUAUUGGGGUCAAUGGUGAUAAAUUUAUGUUUUCUAUGUUUUCUGAACAACUAUAACUGACAGAUAACCGAGAGUUAAACAUGUAUAACUCUCAGUUACACAUUGGUUUACUCAGUGUGUAAAUCUUAGUUACACAUCAGGGAAUAACAUAUGUAACUUUAAGCUACAUAUUUUUUGUAGGAUGUGUAACUUUUAUUUACACAUUGUUUUCUUUUUUUUUUUGUGAAACUUAUUGUUUUUUCAUUUCUGCACACUUGUAGGAUUUUUCUCCUUGCUAUGGCACUAGUCUAUGCUGAGAAUAACAACAACUAGGAGUGGUUUUUAAGAAAUUUGACUCAAGUUGUUGGUGAUGGGAGGCCAAUCACCUUCCUUUCGGAUCGCCACGAAGGACUCUUGCGUGGUGUUCCACUUGUAUUUCCAGACUCAUACCGUAGAUUUUGUUACCAUCAUUUGAAGACUAAUCUUCCCAUCAAUGGAUCAGAUCCUAGGUACUCUCUUAUGAUCGACCAUUUCCAAGAAGCGACAUACGCACUCUCACCUGAAAACCAUGCUAAGGCCAUACCGAAAAUUAGAGAUUUGAAUUGUGAUUGGGUUGCUGGUUAUAUAGAUACCAUCCCACCUGAAUCAUAUGUGAAUACCUAUUUGAAAGGUUGUCGGUAUGGACACACAUCUAAUACUCUUGGAGAAUCAUUCAAUAGCUGGAUUCUGGUUCACAAGAAGAUGCCUGCAUCUGCUCUUUUUGAUCAGAUUAGGAUGAAAGUAAUGGUAAUGAUGGAAGAUCGUCGUGAAGAUGGCGUUAAUAUGAUGAACUCCAUUAACUCCCGAGUAUGAGAAAAGGCUUGAGGCUCUUCAAGAUGAAUGUUUAUCUUGGCAAGUAUUGGUGGCUAGUCCUACCGUGUUUGAAGUUUUUAGCGAAAGAACUCACAGAGUGGACCUAGAACACUGAACUUGCACCUGUCAAAGGUGGUGUGUAUACGGUUUCCCUUGUGCUCAUGCUCUUGCAGCCAUACGGAAGAUUAAACGUGAAGCUAUUUACUUCAUUUCACCAUAUAUUACAAGUGACUAUUUUAGGAAUACUUAUUUGCAUGUCAUCCAACCGAUCCCCAACUACACCAGGCCUGCUGAUAUUGGUAAAGAUGACAUCAUCAUUCCACCUAUUGUAAAGAAACAACCAGGUAGACCCCAAGGUAAAAGGAUUGAAAGUAAAGGUGAAAAGGAAGGAAAGAGGAAAGUUUAUUGCAGCAAUUGCACGGAACAAGGUCACAACAGGGCAGGUUAUAAGAAGCCUCUGAAGUAUACACCCCCUAGUUUUUCUGCAAGUAUUGUUUUAUGUGUGGUUUUAAUGUCUUGUAUUUUAUUUUAGUUUUAGUUUUCUUCGUGGACCAAACUUUUAUUUAUGCAACGAACUGAUUGUG